rnacentral:rRNA from 1 species
UUGAACGCUGGCGGCAUGCUUUACACAUGCAAGUCGAGCGGCAGCGCGGGGCAACCUGGCGGCGAGCGGCGAACGGGUGAGUAAUAUAUCGGAACAUAUCCUGUCGUGGGGGAUAACUAAUCGAAAGGUUAGCUAAUACCGCAUACGACCUGAGGGAGAAAGCGGGGGCUCGCAAGACCUCGCGCGAUUGGAGUGGCCGAUAUCUGAUUAGCUAGUUGGUGAGGUAAAGGCUCACCAAGGCGACGAUCCGUAGCUGGUCUGAGAGGACGACCAGCCACACUGGAACUGAGACACGGUCCAGACUCCUACGGGAGGCAGCAGUGGGGAAUUUUGGACAAUGGGGGAAACCCUGAUCCAGCCAUUCCGCGUGAGUGAAGAAGGCCUUCGGGUUGUAAAGCUCUUUCGGCAGGAACGAAACGGUAAGGGCUAAUAUCCUUUGCUAAUGACGGUACCUGAAGAAGAAGCACCGGCUAACUACGU